CCUACGGGGGGCAGCAGUGAGGGAUAUUGGUCAAUGGGGGAAACCCUGAACCAGCAACGCCGCGUGAGGGAAGACGGUUUUCGGAUUGUAAACCUCUGUCCUCUGUGAAGAUAAUGACGGUAGCAGAGGAGGAAGCUCCGGCUAACUACGUGCCAGCGGCCGCGGUAAUACGUAGGGAGCAAGCGUUGUCCGGAUUUACUGGGUGUAAAGGGUGUGUAGGCGGGUUUGCAAGUGAGGAGUGAAAUCCAUGGGACUAACCCAUGAACUGUUUUUGAAACUGCAGAGCUUGAGUGGAGUAGAGGUAGGCGGAAUGCCCGGUGUAACGGUGAAAUGCGUAGAGAUCGGGAGGAACACCAGUGGCGAAGGCAGCCUACUGGGCUCUAACUGACGCUGAGGCACGAAAGCGUGGGUAGCAAACAGGAUUAGAUACCCGGGUAGUC
rnacentral:rRNA from 1 species